GGAAGUGUGGCAGAGCACGGUUUAUUGCGCCGGUCUCGAAAAUCGGAAGAUCACGCAAGUGGUCUCGUGGGUUCGAAUCCCACCGCUUCCGCCA
rnacentral:tRNA from 1 species